UACGUAGGGUGCGAGCGUUGUCCGGAAUUAUUGGGCGUAAAGAGCUUGUAGGUGGUUUGUCGCGUCUGCUGUGAAAAUCCGAGGCUCAACCUCGGACUUGCAGUGGGUACGGGCAGACUAGAGUGUGGUAGGGGAGACUGGAAUUCCUGGUGUAGCGGUGGAAUGCGCAGAUAUCAGGAGGAACACCGAUGGCGAAGGCAGGUCUGCAUGGGCCAUUACUGACAC
rnacentral:rRNA from 1 species